AAGAGUAUAGUAUAAUGGUAGUAUAUUGGUCUCCAAAACCUUAGGUAGGUGUUCGAUUCACCUUGCUCUUG